GGUGACGCAGCUCAGUGGUAGAGUGUCUGCCUCGCAUGCACAGGGCCCUGGGUUCAAUCCCCAGCACCCCCC
rnacentral:tRNA from 1 species